rnacentral:misc_RNA from 1 species
UUCAGUGGUGUGGUUGUCGUGGUACCAUUGUCGAUGCCUAAGUAUGGUGAUUGCGAACACCACUUGGUAAUCAAGCAACCUAACAACUGUAAUCACGGGACGAACCCCACUCAUUACACUUUUGACCUCUUCUUUGACCCACUCGUUUUUCGAUAAUAUCCAUACAUCUCGAACCAAGUUGAAAAUCAUUUCAAUCCAAUGAUAAUUCAACCGCCGGUGAUAUUUUUCACAGCCACAGAGGACAUUUUCAUGAAAUUGCUUAAGUACCUAUCGGUAAUUUGCUGAAACUUCUACGAGCGCGUAAGCUUACUUACUAAACUUCGUUAUUGAGGCAGGCUUCGAAAUUUUGAGUGCCUUGAUUUUCAUCGAAAGUGAAUUCGCUCGCGGAUCGCAGCGUGAACACGGACAAGAAAUUUCACCAAUGAUGCUUACUGACCUGAACCUGGCGGCGAGGACGGAGCUCUACCCGUCCGAUCACAGGGGCACUUCGCUUAUCCAUAACGCCGGAGAACCUCAACACAUUACGGAUCACCCAUCCCUGCGUGGCACUCCUCUAGCCAUGCUGGCUGCUCAAUGCAACAAAUUGACAAGCAAAAGUCCGCCUCCUCUAGCAGACGCCGCUGUCGGCAAAGGCUUCCAUCCAUGGAAGAAAAGUCCGGGAUCUACAACUCCUGUUCCAGCGAGUCCGACAACGGCUCCUCAAAGGCCGCCUUCUGCCGCUUCAACGAAUUCCACAACAGCAAACUAUCAGAGGACCGCGAUAACAACCACAGCUGCGUGCAGCUAUCCUCAGGCAUCAGAUUUUUAUCUCACUCCAGCAACAAGCUCUGGAGGACAAGACUUGCUAACCAAAGCCGAACUUCCAGCUAUGUCUUCAAUGUAUUCUCGGGUGCAUCCCUAUGAGUCGUGGCCUUUCAAUUCGGUAGCUUCAUCAGCUAUAAAACCCGAAGUGUCGGCAGUCAAUACAUUCAAUACUGCAAGCUCAUGGUGGGAUGUACACAGCGCGGCAGCUGGAUCUUGGCUCGACAUGUCGGGAGCGGCAGCGUCAGGUUUAUCUGGCGUGGCUGGUAUGGGUCAAAUGAACUACCCUGGCGGCGAUUACUCAACUCUAUCUCACACUUUAGCUGCUUCCAAUACAGCUCAUCUUUUAUCGUCAGGUCAGCACUUAUUUCAAGACACUUACAAGUCUAUGUUGCCGGGGCAAGGGAUGGGUGGAGGAAUGGGAGCUCCCUUCACGUUGGGUCAACCGUCAUUACCCCAAGUACCAUCUCCGAGGUCGCAACGUCGAUACACGGGGCGAGCAACGUGUGACUGUCCCAACUGUCAGGAAGCCGAUCGAUUGGGCCCUGCGGGGGCACACCUACGAAAGAGGAAUAUACACUCCUGCCACAUCCCAGGCUGCGGCAAGGUGUACGGAAAGACUUCACAUCUCAAGGCUCAUCUUCGUUGGCACACUGGUGAGAGACCUUUUGUUUGCAACUGGCUAUUUUGUGGCAAAAGGUUCACAAGGUCUGAUGAACUACAACGUCACCUUCGAACGCACACAGGUGAGAAGCGGUUUGCGUGCCCAGUGUGCAACAAGCGAUUCAUGAGGUCCGACCACCUGAGCAAGCACGUCAAGACUCAUAAUGCGUGUGGCGGAGGUGGCGUCGGUGGCAAGAAGAACAGCGAUGGCAGCGAAGACAGUGACAACAGCCAUAGUGAAGCUGCUUCUGCCUCUUCCCCUGCCUCUAUCAGCUCCCCCCCUGCGCCCCCUACUCCCACCUCCCCUUCCACCCCCGAUCUGAAACCUUUGGUGUGAGCAAAUCUUUGCUGAUGAAUUUUGCCAUUGAGUGCCACCUCAUUGUAAAAAGUUAAGCAGACGUGCUACGUAAGAAGCGAAUUGUGCCAAAAUUUACGUUCAUAAUGAAGACAGUAUUAGAUAAGGCAUCAUCCUGAUGAUAUCAAAUUCAAGUUAUUUACCCUCAACAAUUACCAGACUGUGUGCCUUCAUAUCAAUACAGCAGGGACAAAGCCCUCUGUAUUUGAUGAAUUAAAAGCAUAGGGAAGGCAGGAAGGUUGGAGUAGAAGGGCAUAGCCAGGGAGGGAAGCACCACAGGCUAAAUUAAAAGUCAACACUAUCAAGAAUCUUGGCAGGAUUUCCGGUGACCACUUUAUGGCCUAUGAUCCGCCAACGAAAAUCCACCUUAUUCUAGUGAAAAAUGAAAAAUAGUGGGAGGUGCUUGCAGUGUGAUAAUUCAGAUACGUUUGCGUUAAUUUACGACACCUAGCGACAUCGAUACGUGCCUAGCUAGUCUCACUGCCAGUCGCUAUUCUUCUCUUUGAUUGGUUCAUCAGCGUGGUUCGGUAGAUCAUAAGUCACCCAAGAGCAAGCGGCCGUCACGCACGCAAAGCUAAACCCACUCACUGACACCCCUGGUUAUCUUUGCCAAGUAUCCUUAAAUUAUACACUUAAAAAAUAAGAGGAUUACUUAUAAAUGAUCAAGAAAUCAGUUCAUUUAUGAGUUUAAGUUCAUGUGAUGUAAUUGAAUAAAUGAAGAGAGACGGUGGGAGGCAAGGGGGCGGUUAGGGUGGUAGCGAGAACAGGCAGGCAACAUCGAUUAGCAGCGCCUCCUAGCCGAGGCGGGCAGCGUCGUGGUGGUGGACCAGCCGAUAAAACAAGGC